CCUACGGGAGGCAGCAGUGAGGAAUAUUGGUCAAUGGCCGUAAGGCUGAACCAGCCAAGUCGCGUGAAGGAAGAAGGAUCUAUGGUUUGUAAACUUCUUUUAUAGGGGAAUAAAGGGAGCCACGUGUGGAUAUUUGCAUGUACCCUAUGAAUAAGGAUGGGCUAACUCCGUGCCAGCAGCCGCGGUAAUACGGAGGAUGCGAGCGUUAUCCGGAUUUAUUGGGUUUAAAGGGUGCGUAGGUUGUUUUUUAAGACAGCGGUGAAAGUUUGUGGCUCAACCCUAAAAUUGCCGUUGAAACUGGCAGACUUGAGUGUGUUUGAGGUAGGCGGAAUGCGUGGUGUAGCGGUGAAAUGCAUAGAUAUCACGCAGAACUCCGAUUGCGAAGGCAGCUUACUAAGCCAUAUCUGACACUGACGCACGAAAGCGUGGGUAUCAAACAGGAUUAGAUACCCUUGUAGUC
rnacentral:rRNA from 1 species